GUGUGUUAGUGGAAGCGUCUGGAAAGGCGCGCGAUACAGGGUGACAGCCCCGUACACAAAAAUGCACAUGCUGUGAGCUCGAUGAGUAGGGCGGGACACGUGGUAUCCUGUCUGAAUAUGGGGGGACCAUCCUCCAAGGCUAAAUACUCCUGACUGACCGAUAGUGAACCAGUACCGUGAGGGAAAGGCGAAAAGAACCCCGGCGAGGGGAGUGAAAAAGAACCUGAAACCGUGUACGUACAAGCAGUGGGAGCACGCUUAGGCGUGUGACUGCGUACCUUUUGUAUAAUGGGUCAGCGACUUAUAUUCUGUAGCAAGGUUAACCGAAUAGGGGAGCCGAAGGGAAACCGAGUCUUAACUGGGCGUUAAGUUGCAGGGUAUAGACCCGAAACCCGGUGAUCUAGCCAUGGGCAGGUUGAAGGUUGGGUAACACUAACUGGAGGACCGAACCGACUAAUGUUGAAAAAUUAGCGGAUGACUUGUGGCUGGGGGUGAAAGGCCAAUCAAACCGGGAGAUAGCUGGUUCUCCCCGAAAGCUAUUUAGGUAGCGCCUCGUGAAUUCAUCUCCGGGGGUAGAGCACUGUUUCGGCAAGGGGGUCAUCCCGACUUACCAACCCGAUGCAAACUGCGAAUACCGGAGAAUGUUAUCACGGGAGACACACGGCGGGUGCUAACGUCCGUCGUGAAGAGGGAAACAACCCAGACCGCCAGCUAAGGUCCCAAAGUCAUGGUUAAGUGGGAAACGAUGUGGGAAGGCCCAGACAGCCAGGAUGUUGGCUUAGAAGCAGCCAUCAUUUAAAGAAAGCGUAAUAGCUCACUGGUCGAGUCGGCCUGCGCGGAAGAUGUAACGGGGCUAAACCAUGCACCGAAGCUGCGGCAGCGACGCUGAUGCGUUGUUGGGUAGGGGAGCGUUCUGUAAGCCUGCGAAGGUGUGCUGUGAGGCAUGCUGGAGGUAUCAGAAGUGCGAAUGCUGACAUAAGUAACGAUAAAGCGGGUGAAAAGCCCGCUCGCCGGAAGACCAAGGGUUCCUGUCCAACGUUAAUCGGGGCAGGGUGAGUCGACCCCUAAGGCGAGGCCGAAAGGCGUAGUCGAUGGGAAACAGGUUAAUAUUCCUGUACUUGGUGUUACUGCGAAGGGGGGACGGAGAAGGCUAUGUUGGCCGGGCGACGGUUGUCCCGGUUUAAGCGUGUAGGCUGGUUUUCCAGGCAAAUCCGGAAAAUCAAGGCUGAGGCGUGAUGACGAGGCACUACGGUGCUGAAGCAACAAAUGCCCUGCUUCCAGGAAAAGCCUCUAAGCAUCAGGUAACAUCAAAUCGUACCCCAAACCGACACAGGUGGUCAGGUAGAGAAUACCAAGGCGCUUGAGAGAACUCGGGUGAAGGAACUAGGCAAAAUGGUGCCGUAACUUCGGGAGAAGGCACGCUGAUAUGUAGGUGAAGUCCCUCGCGGAUGGAGCUGAAAUCAGUCGAAGAUACCAGCUGGCUGCAACUGUUUAUUAAAAACACAGCACUGUGCAAACACGAAAGUGGACGUAUACGGUGUGACGCCUGCCCGGUGCCGGAAGGUUAAUUGAUGGGGUUAGCGCAAGCGAAGCUCUUGAUCGAAGCCCCGGUAAACGGCGGCCGUAACUAUAACGGUCCUAAGGUAGCGAAAUUCCUUGUCGGGUAAGUUCCGACCUGCACGAAUGGCGUAAUGAUGGCCAGGCUGUCUCCACCCGAGACUCAGUGAAAUUGAACUCGCUGUGAAGAUGCAGUGUACCCGCGGCAAGACGGAAAGACCCCGUGAACCUUUACUAUAGCUUGACACUGAACAUUGAGCCUUGAUGUGUAGGAUAGGUGGGAGGCUUUGAAGUGUGGACGCCAGUCUGCAUGGAGCCGACCUUGAAAUACCACCCUUUAAUGUUUGAUGUUCUAACGUUGACCCGUAAUCCGGGUUGCGGACAGUGUCUGGUGGGUAGUUUGACUGGGGCGGUCUCCUCCUAAAGAGUAACGGAGGAGCACGAAGGUUGGCUAAUCCUGGUCGGACAUCAGGAGGUUAGUGCAAUGGCAUAAGCCAGCUUGACUGCGAGCGUGACGGCGCGAGCAGGUGCGAAAGCAGGUCAUAGUGAUCCGGUGGUUCUGAAUGGAAGGGCCAUCGCUCAACGGAUAAAAGGUACUCCGGGGAUAACAGGCUGAUACCGCCCAAGAGUUCAUAUCGACGGCGGUGUUUGGCACCUCGAUGUCGGCUCAUCACAUCCUGGGGCUGAAGUAGGUCCCAAGGGUAUGGCUGUUCGCCAUUUAAAGUGGUACGCGAGCUGGGUUUAGAACGUCGUGAGACAGUUCGGUCCCUAUCUGCCGUGGGCGCUGGAGAACUGAGGGGGGCUGCUCCUAGUACGAGAGGACCGGAGUGGACGCAUCACUGGUGUUCGGGUUGUCAUGCCAAUGGCACUGCCCGGUAGCUAAAUGCGGAAGAGAUAAGUGCUGAAAGCAUCUAAGCACGAAACUUGCCCCGAGAUGAGUUCU
rnacentral:rRNA from 1 species